UACGAAGGGGGCUAGCGUUGCUCGGAAUUACUGGGCGUAAAGCGCACGUAGGCGGUUUCUUAAGUCGGUGGUGAAAUCCUGGAGCUCAACUCCAGAACUGCCUUCGAUACUGGGAAACUUGAGUCCGGGAGAGGUGAGUGGAACUGCGAGUGUAGAGGUGAAAUUCGUAGAUAUUCGCAAGAACACCAGUGGCGAAGGCGGCUCACUGGCCCGAUACUGACGCUGAUGCACGAAAGCGUGGGGAGCAAACAGG
rnacentral:rRNA from 1 species